GAGUAGGUAAGGGGAAGGGGGACACAGAUUUUUUUUGUAAGGAGAGGGGGCUGGGGCUCGCCGCCUCGCGGCGGAGGCGGCCGGCGGCAACGACGGCAGCAGCUGGUGGAGGACCACGACGGCAGCUUCUAGUAGAGCGGUAGCUGGUGUUUCGAUAACCUGAGCUCCGUUCCUCUUCGACUCCUCCCUCGCGGCGCAGACGUCGACGGGCGGCAACUCAUCUCCCAGCUGGCGGCAGAGAUGGACGGGCAGCAGCUGGUGGAGGAGCGGCCUAGCGGCGGCAGCUGGUCUCUGCCGGUGUUUAGACCUCCUGCGCCCCCUACCUCGGCCAGGCCUGCGCGGACGUGGACGUGCGCCAGAGGGGACAGGAGAGGAGACAAACAAGGAUACGAGAGACUACUGACUACUGACUAGAUAACUCACGGUUUAAAAAG
rnacentral:rRNA from 1 species